AUUAAAAUUAGGUAAAAAUUAUCUUUUCAAAUCAAAGUUAAUUAAUAUCAGUUAAUAACAAUUACUUAUUCAGAGAAGGUAAAAUGUACCCCCCACAAUAAAGACAUUCAGAUGGUUCAUCAGAUCAAUGUUUUUAAUCCAAAAAAUCAUAUGAAACACUCAAAAUAUAGUGCAGCACAACAGCACACACACAAAAAAUAUAAAACUACACUCCAUUACAACUCCAUUAAAAGUAUGUCCAGACAAAAGAUCCUCUUCGAACAAGAGGGGAAAUGUGUGUCUACUGCAUGAGCUUAUUUUUGAGGCUGUGGACCUUUUUCAGUAGUUUUGCCCCAUCAAUUUCCAAAAAAAGUUUUUGAAAAGCUUCAAACUAAUUCUUCAGCUCCUUUGGAUAUUCAAUGUUGAUUGCAUAAAUGAGUCCCAUCAGCAAUAUGCAUGCCUUUGUUCGGCUUCCACAUCCUUCCAUCACUUGGUUUCCCUCGAUUACAAUAGACAAAUCUGAUGGAUCCUCCUCAGCCAUGACAUUGUGCUUCAAAUUCACCUUCAUCGUUUUGUCUGUGUAGUCCUCACAUUCCUACAUGUUAAAAAGAAACAAACAAAAAGCAUACACAUUUUUAUUUUAUUUAAGAUGCUGUUUCAAUAUAUUUCAGUUUAUCUAAAAGGAGAGCAGAGGGGGAGUGGAAGGCAAAAGGAGAAGGUGGAUACGAGAGGAGAGGAGGAUCCCUUGAGUUAAUCAAAAAUCUGUUAUCAAUAUGACAUACCUGGCAGUCAUGGAAAUCUUCUUGUCUUUCACCGAGGUAGUUAAUGAGGCAGCAGACAACAGCAUCUCUUUUUUUCUCAAUGUUCUGUGUCUGUGGAGAUACAAUUUAGUGAUAAGACUGUUAGCGGAGUGGGGAGUGAUUUACAUAUACUAAGACCGAAUUCCGGCCCUGCAACAGACUGGUGACCUGUCCAGAGUGAACCCUGCCCCUUCGCCUGAUAAAUGCUGGGUUGGCUCAAAAAUCUUGUGACCCGAACGGACAAAGCAGUAAAGAAAAUGGAUGGAUAAGACCGAAUUCACACAUUGAUGUUAAAAGGUAGUUUAAGUUGGUAAGGAGCUGAACUUUGCGCACAACAAAGCAAUUGUUUACAAAUUACUUUACUUUUAAUUCACUCAUAUCAAUAAUUACAUAUUUGUGAAAAAAUAAAAUAACAUACGUCAUUUAAAGUGUCCAGCAGAGGACGCAUCUUGCAACCAGCUGCUCCUCCUUUGGCACGCAUUAGCCGCAAAAGACCUGGUGUGUACUCAUCAAGCUUCCGCAUGAAUGUCUCCUCCAAGGAAACUUGUGAUGCGUCUAAACUCCUCCUUGAUCUAGGAAGUAAAAGGACCAAAAAUUACAUUUUAAAUUAAAGACCAGCUCUCAUAGUAAUCACAUGAAUGUAUCCUAGUGGGAAGAAAAAAUUACAAGACAUUCUCACCUGAGCCUCAGUGAAUAAUGCUGGCCACCUUUCUUUAAACACACCCACAGAGGGGCUGAGGCUGACCACUUCAACUCUUCGGCUAGAGAAGGUUUUAUUCAUUUUAUCUGCAAUUAUCUUUGCAUUGUUUUUCUUUGUAAUUUCACAAAUUAAUUCAAGCCUCUCUUUCUCCAGAGUCUCUUGGCGUUCACCAGUAGGGUGCGGAGGGAGGUAAUUAACCUCUGCUUUUUUGGGCUUUUUUUAUGUUUUUCGAAGGCACUGCAUUACCUGGAUGCUUCCUUUUUAAAGUGUUGAUUUCAAUUUCCAGGUAAGAAUAUUUUCAAGAUCUUAGCUUGGCACGGUAAUUGUGCAUCUUGUUUUUUAUGCGCUGCUGCCAGCCAUAUAAGCCUGUAAAUGAUCCCGGCUCCCUAAGACACGGAAACUUAGAAACCAAGGCUUCAGCCACUGAGAGGAUUUGCUCAUUGGUUGGGUAAGCAGUGUAAGAAAAAAUUACUUUUGCAAGCUCUUGCAUUAUUGCUGAUUUAACACUGGCAUCCAUGAAGUGUCUUCCAGUGGCAUCAUAUGAGUUGUUUGCCUCUGCGAGGAUGAGUUCUAUAUCUUGGGAAAACUCCAGUACUUGGAAUGGCACUGGCCAUGCAGCAGAGCGACAUGAAUCAGGGAGAAUAAUGGUGUCACUGGAACUUGACGAUGCGUAGUUUGACACCUCUGAGGAUGCAUCAUGAUCUGCAGGGCAGAUGUCCGUUUCAGUAGUACUUGCAGGAUAGGUGCUCACUGAACUCAAUGUAGAUGAUUCAAGUACUGGGUGUAGGUCAAGGGUUAUCGUCGGCUCUUUUAGGAGCACUUUAACAGUGGCCUUGUCAUACAAGUCAGCAGUUGAGGUGACACUGAAAAACUCAUUGUCAAAGUGUUUGUCUUGGUAUAGUAGUCCAAUUUCCCCAUGCAAUUGAAAAGUUUCAGUAACUAUGGAAACAAGAUCUUCCACUGUAUUUGGAAUUCCUGUUGGAAGUUUCAGCUUUUGAAUGUUGUGUUCUUCUAAAAUGACUCUUAAAUGGACCGCCAUUGUUGUUUGGUGUGUGUUUCCUCAGCUGUAGAGACAGAGAAAGAAAAGAAAUUCAGACAGGUUAUUAAUAGUUGAUGAGCUUACUUGCAUAGGUUUGCUUCAAUAUUCUUCUGCCAAAGCAAUAAACAGAUAUUUAGUUCAGUGGAAAUUUCAAUAAAUAAUCUUUGAUUGUCAUUAUUAUUUUAAGAAGAGGUAGAUGAGGAAAGGAGGAGAAGAAAGGAGAGUAAGUAUGCAUCACAUUUUCCCAUUUUCUGUGGCAAUCGUCCCUGUUAAAUAAACAUUACAAUAAAUAAAUAAGACAGGAUUCCUGGCCAUACAGCUGUUAAGUAAUUGUUUCAAUAUCUACUUGAAAAGUGCACACAUAUUUGAUAUGACAACAUAAAUAAAAUCAACCCAUUACACUUACUCUGAUGUGCAAAUGAAGUGUUUAAGGGUAACCAUACGGCCAUCUGCUGUAUUGUAUGCAGCCAAGGGGUAUGUUUCUUUUAAUUCAGAAUGUUUAAGGAUUUCUGUCUCUCCUGUUGGCUCUACUUUGAAACUCCUCAGGUGUUCACAAUACCAACCACUAAGCAAUUUCAGAACAAAGACAGGAGUUUCACGCACAGUGAUUAUUUGCUGGAUUUCUCCCAAGUCAGGGAACUUCCUUGCGAAGGACUCCUUAAUGCCAUCUUUAAGAACAUCAACUGCCACAAGAGUCCUCUGGGACAUGACAGUGCUGGCCUUUGGUUGUUGCAAUUGUUGUGGUGACCUUCUGCUGCUUUGACAUGCAUGGCAUAGUUGGACUUAGUCCGUGGAGGAAACAGUCCUUCUCCUACUUCAUGCUCCUGGAUCUGUGACCGUUCUCCAAUGCAAAAGCGACAGAAAUGUGAAGCUGAAAAGCUUUCAACAAAGCCACCUAUUGAGUGAGCACCAAGACUGUCAGCGACUACAGCAAGUACAGUGCCCUUGACCACUUUGCCCAGACUUGAAACAAAAAUACCUUCAUCUUCAAAGGACUUCAAAUCUCUGAGCAGUGGGUCCAAAACCUUUGCAUAGCCAUACUGGUUGACAUCAUUUGCCUUGCACAAAAUGGUUAAGUAAAUGGAAGUCAGUGUAGAUCUCAAUGUGGCAUGUAUGUCUGCGAACACCCAGUACACUGCUGUGACUUUAUGCUUCUUGCGGGAUGUUCCCAGAGGGUUGCAUAUCUCAAAGUCAUCUAUAUAUAAUAUGAGUGGGAGUUUAAGUUCAUCUUCACAUAAAAAGCUGUUUUCU